rnacentral:rRNA from 1 species
AGAUCAGAAGCGAGAAUGUUGACAUGGGUAGCGACAAACAGGGUGAGAAACCCUGUCGCCGAAAGUCAAAGGGUUCCUGCUUAAAGCUAAUCUGAGCAGGGUAAGCCGGCCCCUAAGGCGAGGCCGAAAGGCGUAGUCGAUGGGAACCAGGUUAAUAUUCCUGGGCCAGUGGGAUGUGACGGAUCGCAGAUGUAGUUUGCCCUUAUCGGAUUGGGUGGGCUGCUGAGCGGUUCCAGGAAAUAGCCCCACAUCAGACCGUACCCUAAACCGACACAGGUGGACUGGUAGAGUAUACCAAGGCGCUUGAGAGAACCACGUUAAAGGAACUCGGCAAAAUGCCUCCGUAAGUUCGCGAGAAGGAGGCCCCAUAUGUACGCAAGUAUGUGUGGGGGGCACAAACUAGGGGGUGGCGACUGUUUACUUAAAACACAGGGCUGUGCGAAGCCGUAAGGCGACGUAUACAGUCUGACGCCUGCCCGGUGCUGGAAGAUUAAGAGGAGGGGUGCAAGCUCUGAAUUGAAGUCCCAGUAAACGGCGGCCGUAACAAUAACGGUCCUAAGGUAGCGAAAUUCCUUGUCGGGUAAGUUCCGACCUGCACGAAUGGCGUAACGAUCUCCCCGCUGUCUCUAACGUGGACUCAGCGAAAUUGAACUGUGUGUCAAGAUGCACACUACCCGCGGUUAGACGGAAAGACCCCAUGAACCUUUACUCCAGCUUUGCACUGGUAUCAGGAUUGUGAUGUGCAGGAUAGGUGGUAGGCAUUGAAGCGGGGACGCCAGUCUUCGUGGAGCCUCCCUUGAGAUACCACCCUUCGCCAUCUUGAUAUCUAACCGCGGCCCGUUAUCCGGGUCCGGGACCCUGCAUGGUGGGGAGUUUGACUGGGGCGGUCGCCUCCCAAACAGUAACGGAGGCGCGCGAUGGUUGGCUCAGACCGGUCGGAAAUCGGUCGUUGAGUGCAAUGGCAGAAGCCAGCCUGACUGCAAGACUGACAAGUCGAGCAGAGACGAAAGUCGGUCAUAGUGAUCCGGUGGUCCCAAGUGGGAGGGCCAUCGCUCAACGGAUAAAAGGUACUCUGGGGAUAACAGGCUGAUGAUGCCCAAGAGUCCAUAUCGACGGCAUCGUUUGGCACCUCGAUGUCGGCUCAUCUCAUCCUGGGGCUGGAGCAGGUCCCAAGGGUAUGGCUGUUCGCCAUUUAAAGAGGUACGUGAGCUGGGUUUAGAACGUCGUGAGACAGUUCGGUCCCUAUCUGCCGUGGGUGCAGGAGACUUGAGAAGAGUUGACCCUAGUACGAGAGGACCGGGUUGAACGAACCACUGGUGGACCAGUUAUCGUGCCAACGGUAGUGCUGGGUAGCUAUGUUCGGACAGGAUAACCGCUGAAGGCAUCUAAGCGGGAAGCCCCCUUCAAAGCAAGGUCUCCCUUGAGGGCCGUGGAAGACGACCACGUCGAUAGGCCAGAGGUGUAAGUGCAGCAAUGCAUUCAGCUGACUGGUACUAAUUGCCC